AGAGUUUGAUCCUGGCUCAGGACGAACGCUGGCGGCGUGCUUAACACAUGCAAGUCGAACGGAAAGGCCCUUCGGGGUACUCGAGUGGCGAACGGGUGAGUAACACGUGGGUGAUCUGCCCUGCACUUCGGGAUAAGCCUGGGAAACUGGGUCUAAUACCGGAUAGGACUACGGCCUGCAUGGGUUGUGGUGGAAAGCUUUUGCGGUGUGGGAUGGGCCCGCGGCCUAUCAGCUUGUUGGUGGGGUGAUGGCCUACCAAGGCGACGACGGGUAGCCGGCCUGAGAGGGUGACCGGCCACACUGGGACUGAGAUACGGCCCAGACUCCUACGGGAGGCAGCAGUGGGGAAUAUUGCACAAUGGGCGCAAGCCUGAUGCAGCGACGCCGCGUGGGG
rnacentral:rRNA from 1 species